UCAGGUUCAAUCUCCGAGAUGAUCUCUAAUUAAGAAGGGGAAAAGAAAGAUCUGAAUUAUGCGAGGUUGCCAAUGACCGUCGGUGAGUGAACUUGGAGCUCGUCGUGUCACCUGCACGCACCUGUUACGUCACAGAAGGGUAUAACCAGAGAUGAGUAAGGAGAUCUCCAACGCUAGGCUUUUCGUGAUACCAGCUAGGUUGGAGCGUCGACGUGACACCUAGGCGGCCACGCACCGAAGGUGGUCCACAAUCGUGUAUAUAUGUAUAGAUAUACUCGGUCGCUCGAACAAGUGGUUGCCAAUCGCAUCCUUGUCCCCGCUCGCACAGAUGUUUCCAGGAAUGCAAGAAUUGGGAUUUUUUUGUUUCAAUUAUGAAUGUCAGCGAAUAAAAGUAUCUCCAGAUUUGAUAAA